rnacentral:lncRNA from 1 species
UUAUAUUUGAUAAGAGGCCAAGUGGUAUUUAAUAGAAUGACCUGAGGUGAGGCCAAGACAACACUAUUUUAGUGGAAAUUAUAACUCCGACUCUGAAACACUAAGUGAAGCACAGAAAUAAACAGCUAUAAAAGAGGCAAAUGGGAUUGAACCCAAUUCUAACUAACUGC